rnacentral:misc_RNA from 1 species
UAAUUAUUUUAUUGAUAUGAAAGAUGAUAGGUACAUAACAAACCGCACAAAUUUUAUUGUUGUAGAUGUUUGAUGCACAACAUAGUCAUAUGCAAGCUGGUCGAAAUCACAGAACAUCCUAGAAUUAACCACCCUAAGAAUCUGCAUUCCUGAAACCAGCGGCCAGGUUCAAAAUAUGGCCCAGAAAACCACCAUUUGCAGCCAUCAGAAAAUCAUUUUUCAUCCAGCAACCGCUACAAAAUGAAAUAAAACAAACUAAUUUUAAAACAGAAGGGAAAUAAGUUGGCAUUGGUGCACGGGCUAACCGUUGAACAUAUAUUUUUUUUCCCAUAAAUCAAAUUUGUCUUAAACAAUAUUCUACUGUGAUAAUUUGGAAGUACCGUACAUCAUAACUUUAGGAAAACUAACUAGAUGAUCUUUUGUUGUAACAAAAUUGAAGGGAAUAGCAUUACCCCCUGUGAAACUCUGACCAACAGGCUAGCUUUAGUUUAAGCUCUCCGAAAAUAUUUUUGCACCUUUUUUACAUGACCAACAACUGCAGGAGGAGGCUUCUUGCAAAUGUUAUCGGUUGAUGUUUCGUCCAGCAGGAAAAUACUGGAAAACUUCAGCAGUCAGAUAAACCAGGCCUUGAUGCUUAUGAAGUAAUUCUGUUUUCUUAUUUUAACUUCUAAUCAUUGUGAAGAUGGCGUUUUCUCUUCUGGCACCUAUUGAUGUACCAAGUGGCAUGCUUUUGUAGGGCCAUUCCAAUCAUCACCUUCAGACUUGUAAGCAUGACAUAGGUCAUGGCAGACAGGAGGAGGAUCCAAAAGAACCUCCAUGGGAGAGGACUGUAAGGAAGGUGAGCAGCAUAUACUGGAGUCAGCACUCGGAUAACCUGAAACCCAGCAGAUUAAUAUACUUACAAUCUAAAAACUUCAAUCUCAGGCCAAAAAAUUGAUUAAGCACAAUCAAGAAAGCCAUUUUGGACUCUCCGUUUAAGAAGCAAACAGCUAGCUAAUUGUAGAAAUUGGCAUAACAAAGAAAUCUCAUUGCUUAAACCACUAGCCAGAAAAUGCAGUGAAAAACCAUCAACAUUGCCCGCAUAACAUGUAGCAAAUUUGUUUUAGGAAACAGGGAACUUUCCAUCAGACAUAUCAUAGAGCACCUUAAGAAAACUACCAUGUUCUCCUUGUCAAAAAGGGACAUCAACAAUAUUGGUGCUUUGAAUCACAAUAACUUCGUCUAAACAUUGCAAGUGCCUAAAUCAACAGCCAGCUAAGUGUAAAGGUUUUAACAAGUAUUACCACACAAGCUGGAGCCAAAGGAACAAAAGUGAGGUUUUUUUUCUUGUCCUCAGUUUGAGUAUUCAAAGUCUGCAUAAAAAAUAUAACCCAAUAAAAAAGGUCUGUUACAAAAUAUAUAUGAAGGAAAAAAAAAAUCAUAAAAAAGUUCAGGUCUCCUCAAUAUGGACACAGAAUUCAGAGAGAAGUUAAAGUUUUAAAAUGACCAAUAUAUGAGGAUAAUAUUCUAACGAGGGGAGGGUUAAGGCAACAAAAGACAUACCUGGUUGCAAAGCUCUUCAAGAAAUUCAGAGUAUGCGAUGGGCUUUAUGUCAUUGAAUUUGGCAAGGAAUGAAUGCUUUAUGAUGUCAAUUAACAUCUCACAGAUGAAAACCAUCAAAGCAUUCUACAAAGUUCAAACAAAAGGCAUAUAAGCAAGCAAGGGAAAUCAGUGAGGAAGAAAUCUCUCAUAAAUUCUUCCCUUGAAAACAAAAAUUGCACAAAAUCUUUACAAUUAACUUACAAAAAGAAAACUCUCAAACCAAGGACCCUCAGCUUCCAGAAUAUUUUGAGCUAAGACAAAUACGAGAAAUGCUGAAAUGUGGAAUCUCUCUACUGAAUCUGGUGAAAAGAAAUGGCAUAAAGAAAUAUAUGAGACAUCAUAAACCACGUAAUUGUACCACAAGAAAUGCAUGAAAUUUAAAUGCAAUAGCUGCAUCUCGAAGACCUUUUAACCAUAAUAACAACAAUUUAAAUCCAAGAACAAGAAAGAAACGCGAUUAGAAAAAAGAAAAUGAUACAGCAGGGGAUUACUAAGUUAUAAUUUGCAAACGUGAUACUUAAGCACAUCAAUAAUCAAGGAUGAAGAAUCCAGUAAUAUGAUUAUGAAUUCAAAUGCUAGUCCAAAAAACUUCCAGAGCCAACAAAACUAAGAAUGCACAGCACCAAAAAUCUUCUAAAUUUUUAAUAGCAGAAGUUAUGCAGAUAUACCAGUUUUUACAUUGAUGUUAAUAGAGUUAAUUCACAGUUGAUACGCCUAAAAGUGCACUAGGUAAAGGCUAAACACAAAACAGCGAACUGCCAAAAGUGUGGUUGAUCAAAAUUUAAGGAUAAAUGUAUUUAGGAUAGUCAUUGCAUACUUUAUUUAAAAAUGUUAUGAAAUAGCUGUUACACUCAUUUCAUAUAGGUAUUUUAGGGUAGUUUUGCAUUUAUUUUGCUCUUAUAUUUUAGUAUAUUUUAUGU